UGGGGAAUUUUGGACAAUGGGCGAAAGCCUGAUCCAGCAAUGCCGCGUGUGUGAAGAAGGCCUUCGGGUUGUAAAGCACUUUUGUCCGGAAAGAAAUCCUUGGCUCUAAUACAGUCGGGGGAUGACGGUACCGGAAGAAUAAGCACCGGCUAACUACGUGCCAGCAGCCGCGGUAAUACGUAGGGUGCAAGCGUUAAUCGGAAUUACUGGGCGUAAAGCGUGCGCAGGCGGUUUGCUAAGACCGAUGUGAAAUCCCCGGGCUCAACCUGGGAACUGCAUUGGUGACUGGCAGGCUAGAGUAUGGCAGAGGGGGGUAGAAUUCCACGUGUAGCAGUGAAAAUGCGUAGAGAUGUGGAGGAAUACCGAUGGCGAAGGCAGCCCCCUGGGCCAAAUACUGACGCUCAUGCACGAAAAGCGUGGGGAGCAAAACAGGAUUAGAUACCCUGGUAGUCCACGCCCUAAAACGAUGUCAACUAGUUGUUGGGGAUUC
rnacentral:rRNA from 1 species